rnacentral:rRNA from 1 species
CAGUCGCCGCGGGAAUACGAAGGGUGCAAGCGUUAAUCGGAAUUACUGGGCGUAAAGCGUGCGUAGGCGGUUUGUUAAGUCUGUUGUGAAAUCCCCGGGCUCAACCUGGGAAUGGCAAUGGAUACUGGCAAGCUAGAGUGUGUCAGAGGAUGGUGGAAUUCCCGGUGUAGCGGUGAAAUGCGUAGAGAUCGGGAGGAACAUCAGUGGCGAAGGCGGCCAUCUGGGACAACACUGACGCUGAGGCACGAAAGCGUGGGGAGCAAACAGGAUUAGAUACCCCAGUAGUCCCUGUCUCUUAUAC